rnacentral:rRNA from 1 species
GUAUUCUGACCGUGCAAAGGUAGCAUAAUCACUUGUUCUCCAAAUAAGGACUUGUAUGAAUGGCCACACGAGGGUUUUACUGUCUCUUACUUCCAAUCAGUGAAAUUGACCUUCCCGUGAAGAGGCGGGAAUAAAAAAAUAAGACGAGAAGACCCUAUGGAGCUUUAAUUAACUAUUCCAAAAGUUAAACAAUUCAACCACAAAGGGAUAAAACAUAACUUAACAUGGACUAGCAAUUUCGGUUGGGGUGACCUCGGAGUACAAAAAAACCUCCGAGUGAUUUUAAUCUAGACAAACCAGUCAAAAUAACCAUAACAUCACUUAUUGAUCCAAAAUUUUGAUCAACGGAACAAGUUACCCUAGGGAUAACAGCGCAAUCCUAUUCUAGAGUUCCUAUCGACAAUAGGGUUUACGACCUCGAUGUUGGAUCAGGACACCCAAAUGGUGCAACCGCUAUUAAAGGUUCGUUUGUUCAACGAUUAAAGUCCUACGUGAUCUG